ensembl:lncRNA
CGUCACUAUGGAGCGCCAGGAAUCCCCUCUCUGCGCCUGAGGAGGGGACGCUGUGGCGGACAGUACGCGCCCUGAGGAGUUCUGGCCGGGUUCUUCGCUGAGAGUGUUCCUUCCCUGUGGGCCCGGGGCGAGGGGCAGAGCCGGGGACUCCACGCUAUCCACGGCACUGCAAGGACGCGUUAAACCUCUGAAAGCGUGAAGGACUGUGCCGUUUCGGUAGAAACAAGUAUGAAAACAGGUGUGUACAUCCCUGUAUAGAGCUGGGGGUGUAAAAUGAUAUGGCCGCUGUGGUAAACUAAUGUUUCCUCAGAAAGUUAAAAAUGGACGCUUUGAGCCAGCAGUCAAAUACUUCGGGGUAUAUACCCUGAAGAAGUGAGAACAGGGACUCGAAAUACUCGUGCGCCAACAUUGGGUGAAGCAUUAUUUGCCAUAACAAACUGUAGAAAUAGCCCAAGUGCCCAUGAGGGUGAAUGGGUAAGCGGUGUUUAUCUGUAGGAUGGAAUAGGAUUUAGUCCUGAAAAGGAAUGUAGGACUGGUCCGUGAUACAGCGUAAACGAAUCUCAAAAACAUUAAAUGAAAUAAGCCAGCCACAAAAGGACAAAUAGGGUAAGAUCUCACUUGCAUGACAUCUUGAAUAGACACAUUUGUAGAAACAGUGCAUCAAAAGUUAGGGAGGGUUGAGGGGAGGAGAGACGGAAUUAAUGCUUUUUGGCUAGAGAGUUUAUGUUUGCAGUGAUGAGAGAGUUUUGGAAACAUAUAUGGUGAUGGUUGCACAACCUUACGAAUCUAGUUGAUCCACCGAAUUGGACACUUCAAAAUGAUUAUAUGAGGACUCCCCUGAUGGGCCAGUGCCUGAGACUCCAACCUUCCAACGCAGGGUGCCCAGCUGUGGUCUCCGAUCAGGGAACUAGAUCCUGUAUGCCACAACUAAGACCUGGCGUAGCCAAAUACAUAAAAAUAAAAUUUUAAAAUAAUUAUAUGACAACUUAUAUAUUUUGUUAUUCAAUCACUAAGUUGUCUCCAACACUAGGACCCCAUGGGCUGCAGCAUGCCUGGCUUCCCAUCCUUCAUUAUCUCCCAGAGUUUGCUCAAAUUCAUGUCUGUUGAGUUGGUGAUGCCAUCCAACCAUCCCAUCCUCUGCCACCCCCUUCUCCUGCCUUCAGUCUUUCCCAGCAUCAUGGUCUUUUCCAAUGAGUCAGCUCUUUGCAUCAGGUGG